CGACUCCAUGAAGCUGGAUUCGCUAGUAAUCGCGCAUCAGCCACGGCGCGGUGAAUACGUUCCCGGGCCUUGUACACACCGCCCGUCAAGCCAUGGAAGCCGGGAGUGCCUGAAGUGCGUGACCGCAAGGAGCGUCCUAAGGCAAUACCGGUGACUGGGGCUAAGUCGUAACAAGGUAAC
rnacentral:rRNA from 1 species